GGAUAGCUCAGUCAGUAGAACAUGAGACUCUUAAUUUCAUGGUUGUGGGUUCAAGUCCAAUUUGGUGCCA